rfam:Cavia porcellus supercont2_1 genomic scaffold, whole genome shotgun sequence.
GGGGAUUUAGCUCAGUGGCAUAAGUGCCUGCCUUGCAAGCAGGUUGUGAGUUCGAUCCCUG